GAUCUGGUGGUCAUAGCGGGGGUCAAUACACCCGAUCCCAUCCCGAACUCGGCCGUGAAAACCCCCAGCGCCAAUGGUACUGCGUCUCAAGACGUGGGAGAGUAGGUCGCCGCCAGGUCC
rnacentral:rRNA from 1 species